GACGUAGGGGGCCAGCGUUGUUCGGAAUUACUGGGUGUAAAGGGUUCGUAGGCGGUGCGGCAAGUCGGGAGUGAAAUCUCUGGGCUUAACCCAGAGGCUGCUUCCGAAACUGCUGUGCUUGAGUGUGGGAGAGGCGCGUGGAAUUGCAGGUGUAGCGGUGAAAUGCGUAGAUAUCGUCAGGAACGCCAAUGGUGAAGACAGGUAACUGGGCUAGUUCUGACACUGAGGCACGAAAGCGUGGGGAGCGAACGGG
rnacentral:rRNA from 1 species